ACAUGCAAGUCGAGCGGACAGAAGGGAGCUUGCUCCCNGAUGUUAGCGGCGGACGGGUGAGUAACACGUGGGUAACCUGCCUGUAAGACUGGGAUAACUCCGGGAAACCGGAGCUAAUACCGGAUAGUUCCUUGAACCGCAUGGUUCAAGGAUGAAAGACGGUUUCGGCUGUCACUUACAGAUGGACCCGCGGCGCAUUAGCUAGUUGGUGGGGUAAUGGCUCACCAAGGCGACGAUGCGUAGCCGACCUGAGAGGGUGAUCGGCCACACUGGGACUGAGACACGGCCCAGACUCCUACGGGAGGCAGCAGUAGGGAAUCUUCCGCAAUGGACGAAAGUCUGACGGAGCAACGCCGCGUGAGUGAUGAAGGUUUUCGGAUCGUAAAGCUCUGUUGUUAGGGAAGAACAAGUGCGAGAGUAACUGCUCGCACCUUGACGGUACCUAACCAGAAAGCCACGGCUAACUACGUGCCAGCAGCCGCGGUAAUACGUAGGUGGCAAGCGUUGUCCGGAAUUAUUGGGCGUAAAGGGCUCGCAGGCGGUUUCUUAAGUCUGAUGUGAAAGCCCCCGGCUCAACCGGGGAGGGUCAUUGGAAACUGGGAAACUUGAGUGCAGAAGAGGAGAGUGGAAUUCCACGUGUAGCGGUGAAAUGCGUA
rnacentral:rRNA from 1 species